UUCAAAUCCGAUCGUGGACUACGUCUCUUGCCCACGAUCUCAUUCGUGGAUUGAAUAACAGUCCUGCAGAGGCAGGACUGGUGGAGGGGCAAGCAGUUUGAUCUCUAUAAAGGGACGGCCGAAAAUCAGAGCGGGGGGAUCGAAAACCAAAUCAAAAAACAGAGGUAGAACCAGAACAAAAACAAAGCAAAAAAUAUACACAGAGAAGAGGAGAGAAAAGCAGAGGAACAACCAUUGUCUUCGUUCCUGCAGAAAAAGAACAACCCAGAAAUCAGUCAAAAUAAAUCCAGCCAGUGUCUUCAUCAUCUCAAAAGCUGCUGGAAAACGAAAGCAGACGGUGGACACAGAAGCAAAGGAAAGCAGAAGAAGAAGCAGAGGAGAGGAGGUGGUGUCGGCCAGCCAGAGCUUCGCCAUCGUCUCCAUCGCCUCCGGCAGAACAGCUUCUACGAGGUUAUCCCGUUUUCAUGACUCGGGUUGCGAGUUUGACAGGGUUAUCAAGAUCUUGUGAUCCGGAUUGGGAGUUUGAAAAGUUAACCUCGGCUGGCUCGGAUUGAUUCGAU